AGAAGGAGAAGGAAGAAGAAUAGGAGAGGCAGAGGUGUACAACAAUCCUUCUUGCUGCUGUAUACUCACUCGGCUGCUGUUAUUCAGCCAUGGAAGCUGCUUAAGGUGAGUGCAUGCAAGUGAGUUGCACUCUCCACUUCAAGAUGGUACUGAUUGGGUCUUGAUUCAUCUGAAAUUUGGAGAGAAUGGAUGCUCAAGCUAUAUGCAUACACCAAGAGAACACAAACGGAAUCAUAUGACCACAUUUGUUGAGGAUACGCAAGGCUAGGACAUUGGUGAAGGAUUUCAGAUUUUGAGAUUUCAGGUGUUGAAGUUGAAGCAGAGAAGAGCAGGAGAUUGUUGAAGAUAAAGUCAUGGGAAGGGAGC